rnacentral:rRNA from 1 species
UACGUAGGGGGCAAGCGUUGUCCGGAUUUAUUGGGCGUAAAGAGCGUGUAGGCGGCCAGAUAGGUCUGUUGUGAAAACUCGAGGCUCAACCUCGAGACGCCGAUGGAAACCAUUUGGCUAGAGUCCGGAAGAGGAGAGUGGAAUUCCUGGUGUAGCGGUGAAAUGCGCAGAUAUCAGGAAGAACACCCGUGGCUAAGGCGGCUCUCUAGUACGGUACUGACGCUGAGACGCGAAAGCGUGGGGAGCAAACAGG